rnacentral:rRNA from 1 species
CGAUUCUACGGGCGGCAGCAGUGGGGAAUUUUGGACAAUGGGGGCAACCCUGACUCUCAGCCAUUCCGCGUGAGUGAAGAAGGCCUUCGGGUUGUAAAGCUCUUUCAGCAGGAACGAAACGGUGGCUACUAAUACUAGCUACUAAUGACGGUACCUGAAGAAGAAGCACCGGCUAACUACGUGCCAGCAGCCGCGGUAAUACGUAGGGUGCGAGCGUUAAUCGGAAUUACUGGGCGUAAAGCGUGCGCAGGCGGUUAUGUAAGACAGGUGUGAAAUCCCCGGGCUUAACCUGGGAACUGCGCUUGUGACUGCAUAACUUGAGUGUGGCAGAGGGGGGUGGAAUUCCACGUGUAGCAGUGAAAUGCGUAGAGAUGUGGAGGAACACCGAUGGCGAAGGCAGCCCCCUGGGUCAACACUGACGCUCAUGCACGAAAGCGUGGGGAGCAAACAGGAUUAGAUACCCUGGUAGUCCACGCCCUAAACGAUGCGAACUAGGAAACAGGAUUAGAUACCCUGGUAGUCCGCACAGUAAACGAUGAAUACUAAGGUGUUGGGGAAGGAGACUUCCUUAGUACCGUAGCUAACGCGUGAAGUUGGCCGCCUGGGGAGUACGGUCGCAAGAUUAAAACUCAAAGGAAUUGACGGGGACCCGCACAAGCGGUGGAUGAUGUGGAUUAAUUCGAUGCAACGCGAAAAACCUUACCUACCCUUGACAUGCCAGGAAUCCCGCUGAGAGGUGGGAGUGCUCGAAAGAGAGCCUGGACACAGGUGCUGCAUGGCUGUCGUCAGCUCGUGUCGUGAGAUGUUGGGUUAAGUCCCGCAACGAGCGCAACCCUUGUCAUUAGUUGCCAUCAUUUAGUUGGGCACUCUAAUGAGACUGCCGGUGACAAACCGGAGGAAGGUGGGGAUGACGUCAAGUCCUCAUGGCCCUUAUGGGUAGGGCUUCACACGUCAUACAAUGGUCGGUACAGAGGGUUGCCAAGCCGCGAGGUGGAGCCAAUCCCAGAAAGCCGAUCGUAGUCCGGAUCGGAGUCUGCAACUCGACUCCGUGAAGUCGGAAUCGCAUAGUAAUCGUGGAUCAGCAUGCCACGGUGAAUACGUCCCGGUCCUGUACACAUCGUGCCCCCGAA